GAUGAACGCUGGCGGCGUGCCUAAUACAUGCAAGUCGAGCGAACAGACGAGGAGCUUGCUCCUCUGACGUUAGCGGCGGACGGGUGAGUAACACGUGGAUAACCUACCUAUCAGACUGGGAUAACUUCGGGAAACCGGAGCUAAUACGGGAUAAUAUAUUGAACCGCAUGGUUCAAUAGUGAAAGACGGUGUUGCUGUCACUUAUAGAGGGAUCCGCGCCGCAUUAGCUAGUUGGUAAGGUAACGGCUUACCAAGGCGACGAUGCGUAGCCGACCUGAGAGGGUGAUCGGCCACACUGGAACUGAGACACGGUCCAGACUCCUACGGGAGGCAGCAGUAGGGAAUCUUCCGCAAAGGGCGAAAGCCUGACGGAGCAACGCCGCGUGAGUGAUGAAGGUCUUCGGAGCGUAAAACUCUGUUAUUAGGGAAGAACAAAUGUGUAAGUAACUAUGCACGUCUUGACGGUACCUAAUCAGAAAGCCACGGCUAACUACGUG
rnacentral:rRNA from 1 species